CCUACGGGUGGCAGCAGUGAGGAAUAUUGGUCAAUGGCCGAGAGGCUGAACCAGCCAAGUCGCGUGAGGGAAGACGGCCCUACGGGUUGUAAACCUCUUUUGUCGGGGAGCAAAGCGAACCACGUGUGGCUCAUUGAGAGUACCCGAAGAAAAAGCAUCGGCUAACUCCGGGCCAGCAGCCGCGGUAAUACGGGGGAUGCGAGCGGUAUCCGGAUUUUUUGGGUUUAAAGGGUGCGCAGGCGGAGGUGCAAGUCAGCGGUCAAAGUGCGGGGCUCAACCCCGUACUGCCGUUGAAACUGCAUCCCUUGAGUGAGCGAGAAGUAUGCGGAAUGCGUGGUGUAGCGGUGAAAUGCAUAGAUAUCACGCAGAACUCCGAUUGCGAAGGCAGCAUACCGGCGCUCAACUGACGCUCAUGCACGAAAGCGUGGGUAUCGAACAGGAUUAGAUACCCGGGUAGUC
rnacentral:rRNA from 1 species